UACGGGAGGCAGCAGUGGGGAAUAUUGCACAAUGGGCGAAAGCCUGAUGCAGCUAUGCCGCGUGUAUGAAGAAGGCCUUAGGGUUGUAAAGUACUUUCAUCGGGGAGGAAAAAACAAAACUAAUAAUUUUAUUUCUUGACGUUACCCGAAAAAGAAGCACCGGCUAACUCCGUGCCAGCAGCCGCGGUAAUACGGAGGGUGCUAGCGUUAAUCAGAAUUACUGGGCGUAAAGAGCACGUAGGUGGUUUUUUUAAGUCAGAUGUGAAAUCCCCUGGGCUUAACCUGGAACUGCAUUUUGAAACUGAAAUACUAGAGUAUCGUAGAGGGAGGUAGAAUUCUAGGUGUAGCGGUGAAAUGCGUAGAUAUCUGGAGGAAUACCUGUGGCGAAAGCGGCCUCCUAAACGAAUACUGACACUGAGGUGCGAAAGCGUGGGGAGCAAACAGGGAUUAGAUACC
rnacentral:rRNA from 1 species